CUUGACAUCCCUUGACAACUCCAGAGAUGGAGCGUUCCCUUCGGGGACAAGGUGACAGGUGGUGCAUGGUUGUCGUCAGCUCGUGUCGUGAGAUGUUGGGUUAAGUCCCGNAACGAGCGCAACCCUUAUUACUAGUUGCCAGCAUUUAGUUGGGCACUCUAGUGAGACUGCCGGUGACAAACCGGAGGAAGGUGGGGAUGACGUCAAAUCAUCAUGCCCCUUAUGACCUGGGCUACACACGUGCUACAAUGGCGUAUACAACGAGUUGCCAACCCGCGAGGGUGAGCUAAUCUCUUAAAGUACGUCUCAGUUCGGAUUGUAGGCUGCAACUCGCCUACAUGAAGUCGGAAUCGCUAGUAAUCGCGGAUCAGCACGCCGCGGUGAAUACGUUCCCGGGUCUUGUACACACCGCCCGUCACACCAUGAGAGUUUGUAACACCCAAAGCCGGUGGGGUAACCUUUUAGGAGCCAGCCGUCUAAGGUGGGACAGAUGAUUAGGGUGAAGUCGUAACAAGGUAAGCGUAGCGAG
rnacentral:rRNA from 1 species